ensembl:lncRNA KRTAP5-AS1 KRTAP5-1/KRTAP5-2 antisense RNA 1
GUAUGGGGUGGGGGUGGCGGUGGAGUGCGUCCUGGCGCAGAGCUGGCACACAGCACAAACAAACGCCUUGGCGGGAGUGGGUCUGUCCCGGAAGGGAGCCCAGGGGUUAUUGGGGUUGGGGCUGCGCCCCAAAGCGGGAGGGCCCUGCGAGAAGGGAGGCCCUGGCUGGAGGGGGACCCUGAGACUGGAGGUGCCGGACCCGGAUGCGGGGCCAGAUGGAGACAACAGGAAGGAAAGAGACCUUCCUGGUCACACUUGGGCCACAGGAGAACAGGCAGCGGCCCAGGAGGAUCCAGGGUCCUGAUGGUGGUUGAGAAGCUGGUUCUUAGUGAUCACUCAGAAACGUCGGCCUGGCCUUGUGGGGUCAGACCUUGCAUCUCAGUCAGCCCAGGGAGAAGAAGAAGAUGGU